rnacentral:piRNA from 1 species
UGGCAGAGCUUGUCAUUUUGACUAAUUGG